rnacentral:rRNA from 1 species
GGCGGGGCGGCAUGCUAUAAUGCAGUCGACGCUUCUUUUUCCACCGGAGCUUGCUCCACCGGAAAAAGAGGAGUGGCGAACGGGUGAGUAACACGUGGGUAACCUGCCCAUCAGAAGGGGAUAACACUUGGAAACAGGUGCUAAUACCGUAUAACAAUCGAAACCGCAUGGUUUUGAUUUGAAAGGCGCUUUCGGGUGUCGCUGAUGGAUGGACCCGCGGUGCAUUAGCUAGUUGGUGAGGUAACGGCUCACCAAGGCGACGAUGCAUAGCCGACCUGAGAGGGUGAUCGGCCACAUUGGGACUGAGACACGGGCCCAAACUCCUACCGGGGAAGGCAGCAGUAGGGAAUCUUCGGCAAUGGACGAAAGUCUGACCGAGCAACGCCGCGUGAGUGAAGAAGGUUUUCGGAUCGUAAAACUCUGUUGUUAGAGAAGAACAAGGAUGAGAGUAACUGUUCAUCCCUUGACGGUAUCUAACCAGAAAGCCACGGCUAACUACGUGCCAGCAGCCGCGGUAAUACGUAGGUGGCAAGCGUUGUCCGGAUUUAUUGGGCGUAAAGCGAGCGCAGGCGGUUUCUUAAGUCUGAUGUGAAAGCCCCCGGCUCAACCGGGGAGGGUCAUUGGAAACUGGGAGACUUGAGUGCAGAAGAGGAGAGUGGAAUUCCAUGUGUAGCGGUGAAAUGCGUAGAUAUAUGGAGGAACACCAGUGGCGAAGGCGGCUCUCUGGUCUGUAACUGACGCUGAGGCUCGAAAGCGUGGGGAGCAAACAGGAUUAGAUACCCUGGUAGUCCACGCCGUAAACGAUGAGUGCUAAGUGUUGGAGGGUUUCCGCCCUUCAGUGCUGCAGCUAACGCAUUAAGCACUCCGCCUGGGGAGUACGACCGCAAGGUUGAAACUCAAAGGAAUUGACGGGGGCCCGCACAAGCGGUGGAGCAUGUGGUUUAAUUCGAAGCAACGCGAAGAACCUUACCAGGUCUUGACAUCCUUUGACCACUCUAGAGAUAGAGCUUCCCCUUCGGGGGCAAAGUGACAGGUGGUGCAUGGUUGUCGUCAGCUCGUGUCGUGAGAUGUUGGGUUAAGUCCCGCAACGAGCGCAACCCUUAUUGUUAGUUGCCAUCAUUUAGUUGGGCACUCUAGCAAGACUGCCGGUGACAAACCGGGAGAGAAGGGUGGGGGAUGACGUCAAAUCAUCAUGCCCCUUAUGACCUGGGCUACACACGUGCUACAAUGGGAAGUACAACGAGUCGCAAAGUCGCGAGGCUAAGCUAAUCUCUUAAAGCUUCUCUCAGUUCGGAUUGUAGGCUGCAACUCGCCUACAUGAAGCCGGAAUCGCUAGUAAUCGCGGAUCAGCACGCCGCGGUGAAUACGUUCCCGGGCCUUGUACACACCGCCCGUCACACCACGAGAGUUUGUAACACCCGAAGUCGGUGAGGUAACCUUUGGAGCCAGCCGCCUAAGUGAUAGU